UACGUAGGGGGCGAGCGUUGUCCGGAAUUAUUGGGCGUAAAGAGCGUGUAGGCGGUUCGGUAAGUCUGCCGUGAAAACCUGGGGCUCAACCCCGGGCGUGCGGUGGAUACUGCCGGGCUAGAGGGUGGUAGAGGCGAGUGGAAUUCCCGGUGUAGCGGUGAAAUGCGCAGAUAUCAGGAGGAACACCGGUGGCGAAGGCGGGUCUCUGGGCCGUAACUGACGCUGAGGAGCGAAAGCAUGGGGAGCGAACAGG
rnacentral:rRNA from 1 species